AUGUUACCUAUUCAUUUGUUCGAACAUAUUUUUAAUUAUCAUUAUCAUUAAAUUAAAUAUAAUAAUAAAUGAAAAAUAAAAAUCAAUAAUAAUUAUAAUUAAGCUCUUAGGGUUAUUCUGUGCUUUAAUAUUUGUAUUUAGUUUAUUAUUUAUGCACAAAACUUUGAAAUUUGUAGGUAUUGUCCAUGUGGAUCCUAUCCUAUACAUUUACAUUUAUAAUGUUGUUCACUCCUAAUACUAUUUUUUUACAGUGUAUCAAUGGUAUCACUUAAUAAGUUCCUACCAAUUAUACUUACCUGAGUUCACUUUAUCUAUUUUAAAUUUAAUAAUCACAAAUGUUAAUAUAAAAACUCUAUAAAUAUUUUUAAAAUAUAAUAAAAUUAACCAAAAUAAUUAUAAAAUAUAAUAGAGAUAUAAUAUAAUUUAAAAUUUCACUAUAUUUGGUAAAAAUAUUUUCAACAAUUUUAUUGGUUACGAGCAACCUCUCAGUUUUUAAUUAAUUACGAGCACAGUUGAGAUAUACUCAUCCUCUCGAGAAUAGAAAAAAGUUAUUUACAAUCUUGGCUUUAGCCCUCACGAGCAGCUAACACAACAGAGUUGGUAAGAAGAAAAAAGAGGAAAAGAGAAAGCUGCUAAGAGGACAAAGGGCGAGAAAUGGCGAAACGAGCAGAGAAAGAUCGAGAAAUGACGUCAGAAUCCUCACCAGUGGCUCCCAUCAUCAUCAUCAUUGUAAACCCAUCAUCAAAAUUCUGUAGAUAACUCUCUCGAUCGUACCCCUGCACCCGCAUCUCAUGUGCUCUGCACCUCCAUGACAUUAUGAUUCUCUUCUUAAUCCUUCUCCACACCAUUCUCCAUCUCCCCAUCAUCAUCUUCUUCUUCAUCUCCGGCGUCGGCGCCGCCCUGCACCUCAAGACGCCGGCUGCCACAUACACACGGCUGCUGGACCACCGCAUACAACUCAAAUCCAUUAUGGGUUUGAUUGUUUUGGGUUGGGGAGGGAGGAAGGGGAGUUUGGAGUUGGGGGUAUUAAUAACAAUGUUCAAUGUGAAAAAAAGUGAGAAAGGUCAAUACUCAUUAUUCUAUUUUAUAUUCACAAAAGGGGUUUCUGUUUUUGUGGUAACCCUAAAAAGAGGGUUCUCUUUUUCUAACUCACAUGGGAGAGAUGUUUAAUGGGUUGCAUUUGCUUUGUCUUUUCUUUAGUCAAAAUAUCAUAAAUUCUAUUCUUUUCAAUAAUAAUUGUUUGAAACAACUAUAUAUCUCAACUCAAAUAUAAUAUUAUAGUAUGUUUUAGUGAUCAACAACUAAUUAGACUUUACAUUACUUAGAUUGCCUUUGACACCGUCUCAAUCUAACUCAUUUUGUAGUCGUCAUGUGGUAAAUUGGGACGAGUGGUACGGUAUAUUCUUUCGAGUGGAAGAAAUUUAUGGAAUAUAUACCUAAGGAUAGAUAAGGAUAAGUAACUUUUAAUUUGAAACAAUCGCAAUAAUUUAAACCUAAAGUAAUCCUAAGGUUUUAAUUGAUACAACUUUAAAAAUUUAGAGAUAUACGUAGAUAUACGUGUAUAUAUAUAUAUAUAUAUAUAUAUAUAUAUAUAUAUAUAUAUAUUUAUAAUUUGGUCCUCAAUACUUUUAAUAUUUGCAUUCUUGUCCUUAUAUUUACAAAAAAAAAAAAAAAAAGUAAUCAUUUAGGAGGUGUUUGGAGGAUAUCCAUAUUGGAUUAGAAGAGCCUAAUAUUAACUUCUUGUGUUUACGAGCUGGAACAUUCUCUUAUUCCUAAUAAUCCUAUUUCAUUCCCACCUCUAUCCCCGGUUGUACUGAAAGAAAAUUCUAAAACUAAAAGUAUUGGAUCAUACGGUAGUAUUUAAAUCUUUAUUUAUUUUUUAAUUCUUCUUUUUCAAAUAACCACAUAAUGUUAACUACCUACACAACCACUCAAUUAUAGUCUACAUUCUAAAUGAUCCAGGGCUCCUUUUUUGGUUAUUGAAACUAGCCCACAACACAGUGCCAAACAUGUAAAAUUAUAAUCAGUUUAAUGCACAUUAAAAAGAUUAUAGUGUGAUUGUCUAUGCUGCUAAAUCAUGAUGUUUCAAUCAUAGUAAUUAGUAGAUCAAACUUAUACACGAAAGAAUAUAUUACUUCAUCGCACCAUUUCAACCCGAAGAAUUGAAACGGGACAAAGUAGGUGGCUAUUCAUUAGUUUCUGGGUGAUGGUCAGCCAAAACAUGAUAAAACAAACAAGGCUAAUGGAAGAGUUCCAAAGCUUUUUGAAGAUUUCAUAAGAUUUGUUUUAAUGUUAAAUAAAUAAAGCAGAGGAAAUUAUACAAAACUUACAAGGAAAGUCUCUUGCUGGGCCAUUGCUUCCAAUCCAUUACACUUGACAAAUCAGCCUCAAGUUCUUGUACAUAUCCGAACCCGCGGACGAAAAUUCUGACAAUGCCCUGAAGAGUUCUGGCAAUUGAUUCUUAAGACUCACCAGUGAUUUCUCCCUCACAUGAAGACAUUGCUUCGCAUGAGUUUCCUUUUCCUCCUCCAAUCUCUUCUUCAACGACUCUACCACAACUAACCUCUCUGUUACUGCGGCGUCCUGUGAGUUUUCUUCAGACUUCUCGGGGUCCAACUCGUCUGGCAUUCUCCGUUGCUGGUAUUUGUAAUGCCAGUCAUCAAAUUGUCUCUGCUUUCGCAUGAGCUCUUUCUCGGUCUCGUCACAUCUUAACUUCAGUUUCAUCUCUUCUUCCUGCUGCAGCAUAAUAGUACUUAUCACAGCACUGAAACUGGAUAUCGCUGUUCUAAGAUGCUCGUCUGGGAGUUUUUCGAGUUGAUCGUGCCAAGCAGUGAGGAGUCUCUGAAUGGGUGGAUUUUGAGCUCUUGGUGGAGAAGAAACCUUCUCUUUCAAGCUACUCUCUAUAGGAAUUAGAUUUAGUUUCAACCAACUGUUUAAUGCUUUAAUGUAGUCUUUUUGACGGUAUGCUAGCUUCUCGAACUGAGAAUGCCACUCUCUCACAACAUUGCAAAGCUGCACCGUACGCUCGUGGUGAUGCAGACUAGUUUCUUUUGGCGAUUGAGAGAGAUCCAGAUAUCUCAAUGCAUUCACAAUUUUCAAUUGCUCUUCAUGGUGCAUUCGCAUUGUGUCCCACAUCAACAUCAUCCUGCAAUACAUUGAAAAAUAUCUGUGUUGGUAACAUAUUAACUUUUGCAAUAGUAGAUAGAUGGUGGUAGCUUAGGUAAGAACAAGUGUAAUGAGAUUUAGGAAUCAAUAAAAUUGGAUAUCCGUUAUAUCAAGUUAACCAAAACCUACUAAGGCCCCACCUCGAGAAUAAAGUCCGUCUACUACAACAAACAACAUAGGGUUACCACAUUGUUCACCAAAACAUGUCAAGUAUUCCAUUAAGAUGAGCCUUAAUUUUCACCAAUGCUCUAAUAUCACUAUCACCAAUAUUCAACCACAACUGAUAUUACAACCAUUUUUAAAGUCAUAUGGAUAUAUCCAAUAAGCUCAGAAAAAUUUUUAAUACUACAAUGGUACCUACUACUCUCAUUCAUAAGUUGAGACAUCAUCAAAUGAUGUAUUCAUUUAUAAUCAGUAUUCAGUACUAGAAAAUUUUCCAAUAAGCUCAAACUGAACCUACUCUACAAAAAAAAGGAGACGGGCACCAUUUCUUAGGCAACAAUGGACCAAUGGUGUACCAGUCAAAGCUUAGCAGGCAUGCCAAGGCUUCGGCCAUGGGUCUCACAGAUAAAGCCAAAUUCCAUACUCACUUUUCAGAGAACUGCCUCAAGCCAGAAUUUUGUCAGAACUUAAUAUACUUAUGCAUUGCAGAAUAAAGAUGUCCUUGCAUCUAUUCAACAAAGACAGUAUAUAGCACAAAGCAACUAUAUUCAUAGUGUCUCUAUCUACAUCAACAUAAAAAUUAACUGAACCAGUAGAAAGAUUUUUUGCUUAAUUGUUGACAAAAUAGUAAGAAGGCAAGUGAAAUUGAGAUCAAUUUUUUCAUCCCAUAGAAAGAUUAGAAAAAUUAACUGAACCAAUAGAAAGAUUUUCUUAUAAAUUCUGCGCCUGCUCCAAAGCUCAUGGUUUGGACAAAAAGGGUAUUUUUGUUACUAAAAGUUAAAAUGCAAAUGUUACAAGGAAAGUAUGGGGAUUUAGACAUGCUACUAGCUCUAACCUCAUAACACUUACCCACGAAGAGAUACAAAGAAAAUACAACUUACCCAUGAACAAGCUGUACGAGUUUUGGGUAUAACUGUUCGUCUCGCAAACGAUUAAUCUCCGAGACAGUUGAGUCCAAUGAUUGCAUAUCCACAAUGUAUCUUGUAUGCAGGUGACUCACGGCUGCUUUUGCUUUCUCCAAUGCAUCUGGAUUAGAACCUCGUUUCUUUAGCCUGUUCAAUGAAGCGACCUUUCUUUGGUACUCAAAUUUCAUAAUCUCCCCUGCCUAUUGAAAAAUAAUGAUCACAAUAAAAGUCAGUUAAUAAAAAAGGUUAUUUCCCUUUUAGCAUCACAAUGAAGAUGAGCUCCCAUCAUAGACAGUAGACACAAUUGAAAGCAAUAUCCAUUGACUAAACGUAAUUAAUUGAGAGCAAAAUCACAAUUAUCCAUGGCUAUUGGCUACUACACCAUCUCUUUAAAAGAGAAUCGCCAUAAAAGUAGGAAUAACAAUAAGAAAGAUAACACUUCAAUGUACCUUCACUUCGUCAUAUAACUUCUUUUCCCAUGCCAGUAGUUUAUCUAGCACAGUGGCAUGAGUUUCCUGAUCUUCUGCAUAAAAAUCAUCUCUUCCAUUAUCCAUACUAGAAAGUCCUUUAAAUGAUCGAUUCCAUGUAAUAACACGCAUGACUCUAGCAGAAUGAUCGAUGUGCCCUGAUAGGAACGCGCCAAAAGUCACCCAGUUAUUCAGUAAUCUGAACAAUAAAUACAAGUAAAGCCCCACAACAUCUUAAAGGAAACCUAUAUGAGGCCGGAGAAUG
rnacentral:lncRNA from 1 species